rnacentral:rRNA from 1 species
UACGUAGGGCGCAAGCGUUGUCCGGAAUUAUUGGGCGUAAAGAGCUCGUAGGCGGUCUGUUACGUCCGCUGUGAAAACCCAGGGCUUAACCCUGGGCUUGCAGUGGAUACGGGCAGACUAGAGGCAGGUAGGGGAGAAUGGAAUUCCUGGUGUAGCGGUGGAAUGCGCAGAUAUCAGGAGGAACACCGAUGGCGAAGGCAGAUCUCUGGGCCGUAACUGACGCUGAGGAGCGAAAGCGUGGGGAGCGAACAGG